rnacentral:rRNA from 1 species
UAGGGAAUCUUCCACAAUGGACGCAAGUCUGAUGGAGCAACGCCGCGUGAGUGAAGAAGGUCUUCGGAUCGUAAACUCUGUUGUUAGAGAAGAACACGAGUGAGAGUAACUGUUCAUUCGAUGACGGUAUCUAACCAGCAAGUCACGGCUAACUACGUGCCAA